UAAAACUAGCUUUCACUAGUUGGAGGCAAUGUGACUAAUUUUCACCUCCAGGAGCCCAUGUAUCAUAGAUUCCUCCAAAAUACAUAGCUUUUAAAACUAAUAACCAAGCACCACAACCUAACAUGAUUAAGUGGUAACCUAAGAUAGAAGUCAUUUUAUUUUUAUCUUUCCA
rnacentral:antisense_RNA from 15 species